rnacentral:rRNA from 1 species
UACUAGAUGGUUCGAUAAGUCUUUCGCCCCCAUGCGCAGAUUUGACGAUCGAUUUGCACGUCAGAACCGCUGCGAGCCUCCACCAGAGUUUCCUCUGGCUUCACCCUAUCCACGCAUAGUUCACCAUCUUUCGGGUCCGAACAGUUAUGCUCUUACUCAAAUCCAUCCGAAGACAUCAGGAUCGGUCGAUGAUGCACCCCAAGGCUCUCACCUCCGUUCACUUUCAUUACGCGUGAGGGUUUAACACCCAAACACUCGCACAAAUGUUCGACUCCUUGGUCCGUGUUUCAAGACGGGUCGUUGACGACCAUUACGCCAGCAUCCUUGCAGAUGCGCGUUCCUCGGUCCCCCGAAGGUAUUACGCAAGGGGCUAUAACACUCCCGAAGGAGCUACGUUCCCCAGGCCUUUAUCCCCCUAAGAGAACCGAUGCUGGCCUAAACCAGGCGAAGUGCACCGGUGAGAACACCGGAUGAUCCGCCUGGAAAAAGUCUGGUCGCAAACGCUUCCCUUUCAACAAUUUCACGUGCUAUUUAACCCUCUUUUCAAAGUACUUUUCAUCUUUCGAUCACUCUACUUGUGCGCUAUCGGUCUCUGGCCGGUAUUUAGCUUUAGAAGAAAUUUACCUCCCAUUUAGAGCAGCAUUCCCAAACUACUCGACUCGUCGAAGGAGCUAUAUAGAGGCUCGGUGUCCAACCGUACGGGGCUCUCACCCUCUCUGGCGUCCCGUUCCAGGGAACUCAGAAGGCACCUAACCAAAAGCAUCCUCUACAAAUUNCAACUCGGACCGCUAGGGCCAGAUUUCAAAUUUGAGCUGUUGCGCUUCACUCGCCGUUACUAGGGCAAUCCCUGUUGGUUUCUUUUCCUCCGCUUAUUGAUA